UACGGAGGGUGCGAGCGUUGUCCGGAAUCACUGGGCGUAAAGGGCGCGUAGGUGGCCUUCUAAGCGUGCGGUGAAAGCCUGGGGCUCAACCCCGGGUCGGCCGUGCGAACUGGGGGGCUUGAGCACUGUAGAGGCAGGCGGAAUUCCGGGUGUAGCGGUGGAAUGCGUAGAGAUCCGGAAGAACGACCGGUGGCGAAGGCGGCCUGCUGGGCAGUUUGCUGACACUGAGGCGCGACAGCGUGGGGAGCAAACAGG
rnacentral:rRNA from 1 species